GUGACAGGUGGAUCCAUGAGCAAGAGCAACCUGCACAGCCGGCUCCUGAUGGACCAGGCAUGUAUGAAGAAGAAGUUGGUCACAUUGAAGCAGGAGUGCAAGGAGUUACAGCGAUAUUUGUUUGAGUUGAACCCGAAGGAUGAAGACGAACAGGAGAAGACCAGAAACCUCCAGACCCAGCAAAAUGUGGUCUCAGGAACUGCAGGAGACAUGGAAUAGGACGGAUCCCAGGAAGACAGCCCCCUGAGGAAUGAGUUUCUCUCUCAGGAGUUCCCUGUGACACAAUCCUCACAGUCAAAGACUUUUUGUGGGUGAAUAUUCUUCUUCUCAGAUAAUUUCCUCAAUGUUUAGAGACCCUACAUUUAUGUAUCCGUAUGCCAGCC
ensembl:lncRNA